GAAUAAAAUAUAAGUAGUUUGUUGGAUAAUCUAUAAACCAGUUGGCAUGCUAAUAAAUCCAAGUAUUGGAGAUAUAUCACUAAUUGUCUGCAAAUACAGAGCCAUAUGAAACUAGGAAUGAUUUUGAUCCCAUUUUGGUAACAGGAAUAAGAGAAUGGUCUGGUAUUUCUAAUACCUAACCUCCAUGUGAGUGAAAAUUAUGUAAUGAAGGCCUCAUCAUUCUUGUCUUGUCUUUCUCCUUCCCAUUCCUGGUAACCAAUGGAACAUACAAUGAGAGUUCUUGUACAUUGGAUGUUUGAUGAUUGUGUCGACAUGCUUUU
rnacentral:misc_RNA from 1 species